rnacentral:lncRNA from 1 species
AUCAGAUAGCAAAUUUCAUGAAGUAAUUUUUUUUAACUUAACCGAAAAAAAUAUAUUCAGGCGCCGGGCCAAUUCUUUGACACACAUAUACAAUUUAAAGUGUGUCUAUCACAUAAUAGUAAAGAGUAUUUUAUAUAUGAGGAUAAAACGCCCUUUUAAAGAAAUGUACAAACUUGACCAAGUCACUUACAAACAUAUCGUAAAGGUUCUGCAAACCUUUAUCUGUUUGUGAGUGAUUUCGACGAGUUUUUACACAAAUUAAGUAUUUUAAAAAGUCGUAUAUCCGAACAAAUUAUUUUAAACAAAUUACAACAGACAUACCUAAAACGAAAGGAAUGUUUUUUCUUCUUUUUUGGUUUGAUUUUUUGGCGCAGUCUUUUUUUGAUAUCUUAAGUCAUACAAACGACUUUCAAUCAUUUGAAAAUUAGCGUUUAAACUGAUCAGCCGGCAUGUUCAAAGAUUGAGAUGUUUCGGAAAAAGACUUUCUCAACAUUGUAUUAAUAAUGAAAUAAUAUCAAAUAUUU